UACGGGGGGGGCAAGCGUUGUUCGGAAUUACUGGGCGUAAAGGGCUCGUAGGCGGCCAACUAAGUCGGAUGUGAAAUCCCCAGGCUCAACUUGGGAACUGCAUCCGAUACUGGAUGGCUUGAAUUCGGGAGAGGGAUGCAGAAUUCCAGGUGUAGCGGUGAAAUGCGUAGAUAUCUGGAGGAAUACCGGUGGCGAAGGCGGCAUCCUGGACCGGCAUUGACGCUGAGGAGCGAAAGCCAGGGGAGCGAACGGG
rnacentral:rRNA from 1 species